rnacentral:lncRNA from 1 species
CAUGAGGGAAAGUCUGCGCAAACUAUUUGGUUUUAUUGCAUUUGUGUGAGUAUUGAUGUUUGAAGUACCGCGACAUCAGUAAGGUAAUUCUGUUUUAUUUUAGGAGAAAUUAUUCCAUUAAUUUUGGAUAUAAGGUGGAGAAUAAAAUUCUUUAAGGAAUGAAUUUGAUUGGCUUCGAUUUGUGUUUAUGUAUUUAUUCUUCAUUCAUAUUUUUUGUAUAUAAUUUUUUUUUAAAGAUUUUGAUCCCGAUUAAAUAUUUAAUUCUUAUCUGGUUUGACCAUCCGGAUCGAGUCUGGUUUUAGUUUAUUGACAAAUUGAGCAAUAACCAUCCCAAUAUGCAUGCAUAUAUAAUAUUAUAGUCCCAUUAACAAAAAAAAUAUCUCUUUUAGAUUAAACCAUAGUUGUUAAAUGGUUACAAGUUUAGUUAACAAGUCCUUAGCAAACACUUUGUUUAGUACCAAAAGGAAUGGUACAGGUUCAAGCAAUCUCGACCGCAUUCCCUCAUGGUACAAACAGUGAUGGUCCUCGAAGGCCUGAGUUUCCCUGAGACACUGGCCACACGCGUCCGAGGUAGGGUCAGUACACGAAGCGGCUGCAUACAUCGUGAACUUCCCGUCGGGCGUCCUAGCGUUGAUGCUCGUCGUGAACUCGACCCGAUGGAUCGCUGUGUUGUGGACCGUCACCACGUCAAUCAUUGACAAUAAAAGCCUGUUGGAUGGGUUCUGGUUUGAUUAUAUGUGUUUGCUAAACUUAAACGCAGGUGUUAUGGCCCGUAAAGGAAGCCUGGUCCAAGUACGUAGCUCAAGCCCAGUCGACAACUGCUGACGCGUGGCUUCUACUUACCUUAAAAUUAUCAUCACAUCGCAAGAGGCAGCUAGCGAUUGGAAAAUCUCUUCUUCUUCAUACGAGAAAUCAGGCGAACCUGCAAGAAAAGAAGGAAGGUUCGUUUCUCGAAUUAUUCGUCAGCAAGGAAAUCAAACGAUGAUAAAAUAGAGGCUGCGAUCAUCUUCAAAGGGUGCGCUUUCAACGGUGAAGGAAAUCCAACCAGGCUCAAGGACACAAUCAGGAGAAGGACUGUGUAAUUGGAGAUAAAGCUUUGAUCGAGCAAUCGCAGUUGAAGUUCAGUUUGAGCCUUAGGAGUUAGCUGGAGCAUAACUGGAGCAACGACGAUUAGUUCAUCAAAGACCUAAAGGGUCGCCAGCCUUGUCAAACUUGUGAUUUCAUUAUUCUCAUAUCUAGAUAUCGUUGAUGGAUUUCUGGAAGGCAUGCAUGCUAAGUUAUUGAUUAUUAAGUUAUUCAAAACUAUAUUUCGCUGCAACUACUCUUCAUCUACACAUUAUUG